UUCGACAACAACAACAGGGUUCGACAACAACAACAGGGUCCAAACAACAACAACAGGGUCCAAACAACAACAACAGGGUUCAAACAACAACAACAGGGUCCAAACAACAACAACAGGGUCCAACAACAACAACAGGGUUCGACAACAACAACAACAGGGUCCAACAGGUUGAAACCUUUAUCUCAUAGUGUUGUUUACUCACCGGUUACCGGACGGAGGACCAUCCCGUACAGACACAACGACAGCAUCGUGAUUUGUUUCAGCAACGCCAUUGACUUCACUCUGUUGUACAUUUUUUUGAUUUAACUCCCAACAAAAAAACUUAAUGUAUUUAUAUGUCUUUCACGUCAGCUCAAUAAGUUGAAGUGAAAUGUCCAGUAUGGAAGAAGACAUUGAAAAGUAAAUGAUCAGUGAUGAAGACGGCGUCAGAUUGUCCUGCUAACAGCUAGCUAACGUUAGCCAACACAACGUUAGCUGAAAAUUACCUCACUAACAUUAACAAUACACUGGUAGCGUUACUACAGGUAGCUAACUAUGUUAAAAUAAACUUGUUUGGGGGGGGGGGGGACGGUCUUAUGCCUACAAAGUCCAACUUUGCCGUAUUUUUUGUCCCCCUUUUCAAGGUAACUAGCUAACGUUAGCUAGCUAGCUCCUUUGCUAACGUUAGGCAGCCUUUGAUAGCUAACCGUCCAAGCUAGCUAGCUAGCUAACGUUAGGUAUUUAUUAUAUACAAAAAGGUCCGUCAAAUCCAAAUUCCAUGUUGACUAUUCCCAUUCCAUAGGUCUUUGUCUUAACAACGUCCAUCCAUUCAGGGUUUAUUUGGUCUAUUCAGGGGUUUAGUAAAUAGGUUUUAGUCCCGUCGGGGUGGAUAGCCGUCUCUUUCUGCAUUUGGCAUUGACCGUGGAGGCUCCGGGCAGGGCAGGGCACCGGACAGCGAGGCUCCGGGCAGCGAGGCACCGGACAGCGAGGCACCGGGCAGGGCAGGGCACCGGACAGCGAGGCUCCGGGCAGGACAGGGCACCAGACAGCGAGGCUCCGGGCAGCGAGGCACCGGACAGUGAGGCGCAGAGCAGGGCAGGGCACCGGACAGCGAGGCUCCGGGCAGGACAGGGCACCAGACAGCGAGGCUCCGGGCAGGGCAGGGCAGCAGACAGCGAGGCUCCGGGCAGGGCACCGGACAGCGAGGCUCCGGGCAGGGCAGGGCAGCAGACAGCGAGGCUCCGGGCAGGACAGGGCACCAGACAGCGAGGCUCCGGGCAGGACGGCGGCGGCGGGGGGAAACGCCUGGUUGUGUCUCCACUAUCAGGUUUGGUGGAUUUGUUUGGGUGGAUGAUGAACUGGAAGCUCCCUAUCUGCAGACAGG
rnacentral:lncRNA from 1 species